rnacentral:tRNA from 1 species
GCUCGUGUGGCUCAGUGGAUAGAGUGUCGGUCUGCAGACUGAAGGGUCCUGGGUUCGAUUCCAGUCAAGGGCA